rnacentral:tRNA from 1 species
AUUAAUUUGGCAGAAUAGUGCGUUGGAUUUAGAAUCUUUUUAUGUUUAUAAACAAUUAAUA